GUACGUGUACAUUUAAGUUAUAUUUAGUUAAUUUCUUGGUUUAAUUCAUUACUGCCACUUGCUGCAUCCUUACGUGUGCAGCUGACGGUCCCUCAGUAGGGGUGGGGCUAUCCCUUUAAAUGCACUGAUGGGGAACCAAUGCUGGGAAAGAGAGAACGGCGAUGGUGUAGAGACAGUGUGAGGAAUCGAUAACCCGAAAGGAAUAAAACUUGUGUCUGACGGGGAAACUGGAGAAGGCCACCCUUCAGUAGGAGAAGUUAUUCCUCAUACCUAUCACAGUGGGCUCCAGAUCUACAAAGAUGGCGCGUGGCACGUGUUUCCCAGCUCCAGUCUCACUGAAGAAGGUAUUGAAGGAGUCGUCUCCUCCUCCCCUGGGCUUAUCGCUUGGCAUCUGGCCGUCCGGCUGGAUCCCGUGCUCCAGACAGUAGAGCUCCCAGCAUGCAUUGCCCAUCUGGGCUCCGGCUUGGCCGACAUGCAUAGAAAUACACUCGCGCUGAGAAAAUCAAGUUAUGGAAGCGUUAGAUUUGACUCUAAUGCUGAUCAUGUGCAUAAAAGAGCAGCUCUGCUAAUACAUGCUAAAAAAUGCUACAAUGCUAAAUUCAACAUUAUAAUGCUAAUGCUUAGUCAGUUAA